rnacentral:lncRNA from 1 species
GAUGGUAAAGAUGGUUCACGUGAGGAGGGAGAUUGUGGGUUUCAAAGACAAACAGCUUGACCUAUUUUUUUCUAUUUUAUUUUGCCAAUUGCCAUGCUCCUAUUCUUGUUGCAUCAGAUCAAAUAACCAGCACUAAUGAGGUGUUCAAUUCCAUAUCCAAGUUUCCUUUAUUUGUUGCAUAGGGAGACAUUUCUUACCAUUCACAAAUACCCUCGAGAUUAACUUUGUUCAUUACUAAUAAAACAAAGUUCUAUGUAUUUACCCAUGUCAUACUAGGAAGCGGUAGACAUGUGGACCUUUGUGGAUGUAGUGUCGAUAUUCAAUGUGAAAAACAUAUAUGUUUGUUUGUAACACUUCAUGUGUAACAAUAUUUUGUGUUGCUAUAGUAUAUCUAUCGGUGAAAUGUUUUGUACCUUCAAGUGAAGCGUUACAACAAACUACUAUUUUUGUAACAUUUAGUUUUAACAUUAAUAUUGUGUUACUACAAUUGUUGUUUGUAACACAAUUUUAAAAAACAAGUGCUAUGUGUUAC